rnacentral:rRNA from 1 species
GAUGAACGCUAGCGGCAGGCUUAAUACAUGCAAGUCGUGGGGCAGCAGGUCUGUAGCAAUACAGAUGCUGGCGACCGGCAAACGGGUGCGUAACACGUACGCAACCUUCCCGUUACUGGGGAAUAGCCCAGGGAAACUUGGAUUAAUACCCCAUAUUAUAUUGGUUAGGCAUCUGACUGAUAUCAAAGCUUCGGCGGUAACGGAUGGGCGUGCGGUUGAUUAGGUAGUUGGCGGGGUAACGGCCCACCAAGCCUACGAUCAAUAGCUGAUGUGAGAGCAUGAUCAGCCACACGGGCACUGAGACACGGGCCCGACUCCUACGGGAGGCAACAGUAAGGAAUAUUGGGCAAUGGACGAAAGUCUGACCCAGCCAUGCCGCGUGAAGGAUGAAGGUCCUCUGGAUUGUAAACUUCUUUUAUCUGGGGCGAAAAUCGGUUAUUCUUAGCCGCUUGACAGUACCAGAUGAAUAAGCACCGGCUAACUCCGUGCCAGCCGCCGCUGUAAUAC